GACCUGUGGUGCAACGGAUAGUGCAUUGGACUUCUAGACAGGUUGAAGUGAUUCAAAGGUUGUGGGUUUGAGUCCCACUAGAGUCG
rnacentral:tRNA from 1 species